GCGAGGAUGGUGGAAUUGGUAGACACGCCAGACUUAGGAUCUGGUGCCGCAAGGCGUGGGGGUUCAAGUCCCCCUCCUCGCA
rnacentral:tRNA from 1 species